GGUGGGUCAAUAAUAUCCUUGUCGUAAAACUUUAUAAGCCAAAGAUUUGCCUCUCAAGUGAUUUUCACAAAUCUCUUCAUGAACUUCUCGGAGUGCAUGUCGGCAUCUGCUGGUCUCCAACACUUCAGUAAGAAAAGAGAGAAUGACUUUUUAUAAAGUUGGCCAUUCAUCAAAAUAUAUUGUGAGGCUGUCCAUCUGAGUCGUUUGGCUUCUGAAGGGUCUGUUGGUAGAGUUCCAUC
rnacentral:lncRNA from 1 species